AUUGAACGCUGGCGGCAGUCCUAACACAUGCAAGUCGAACGAGUGGCGGACGGGUGAGUCAUGUCUGGGAAACUGCCUGAUGGAGGGGGAUAACUACUGGAAACGGUAGCUAAUACCGCAUACCAUCAGAUGUGCCCAGAUGGGAUUAGCUGGUUGGUGGGGUAAAGGCUCACCAAGGCGACGAUCCCUAGCUGGUCUGAGAGGAUGACCAGCCACACUGGAACAGAGACACGGUCCAGACUCCUACGGUAGGCAGCAGUGGGGAAUAUGGAACGAUGGGCGCAAGCCUGAUGCAGCCAUGCCGCGGGUAUGAAGAAGGCCUUAGGGUUGUAAAGUACUUUCAGCGGGGAGGCGUUACCCGCAGAAGAAGCACCUGCUAACUCCGUGCCAGCAGCCGCGGUAAUUC
rnacentral:rRNA from 1 species